rnacentral:misc_RNA from 1 species
UCUCCGUUGGUGAACCAGCGGAGGGAUCAUUACCGAGUUUACAACUCCCAAACCCAAUGUGAACGUUACCAAACUGUUGCCUCGGCGGGGUCACGCCCCGGGUGCGUCGCAGCCCCGGAACCAGGCGCCCGCCGGAGGAACCAACCAAACUCUUUCUGUAGUCCCCUCGCGGACGUUAUUUCUUACAGCUCUGAGCAAAAAUUCAAAAUGAAUCAAAACUUUCAACAACGGAUCUCUUGGUUCUU